rnacentral:ncRNA from 1 species
AAAAUGAGGAGAGAACAUGAGGAGAUUCGAGGAGAGUCGAGGAGAGAACAAGAGAGUCGAGGAUAGAUGAGGAGAGAACACCACGAGUAGAUUCAAGGAGAUAAUAGAAGGAGUAACUCUCGAAACCUUGACAUUUGCGCAAGGGCACAUCAGAGGAGGAGAUAAAGGGUGGAGGAGAUUGAGCUAGAGGGUGCACGGAGGAGACUGAGCUAGAGGGCACACUAUGAGCAAGCUUGAGAAUGGUGAGUGGUAGUUCCACCAAUCCCACCUAGAAUUUUCGCAUUAAGAUAUGGUUUCACCAAGUUGCCUCUAUUUUUGUUUUCCCUUGUCUACCAAAAAAAAACAUGGUUUGAUUGUGUGGAGCUUGGAAAGGUCAAGUUCAAUCUCAUUCGCGCCCCCUUUCUACCUUGGAUGCAAGAAAAAAAAUAGAACGUACACAUGUUUGUCAUCCAAAAUGGACCCUGCAGCCUUCUCCUCCUCACUAUUCUCAUGAUCCAGGUCUAUCCACAUAGGUGUUGUCUACAUAGGCAUUGUUUACAUAGGAGUUGUCUACAACAUUCCAUUUUGGCUCACUGGAUCUUGGACAAUGAGGCAUCACAAAAAAUAUGGAGGUUUUCCAUAGCGUUCUCUAUAGAAUCAAAAAAAAUCUAGAAGCAUUCCAUAGUGUUCUUCAUAAAAGUCCGGUCCUUAUGAAUAAUAUGAAAGAGUUGUAUGUAGAAUGUUGAUUAACCAACUAUCCAACUCCAUGUUAUGGGAGGGGAAUGCCUUUGAUAAUAUCUUGACCAACCCCAUGAUAAAUGAUAUAAUCUAGGGCCUUUAUUGCCAUUAAAAAAAGGCUUUUGUUGGAUGGACCCUAAGUGUCCCAUAUCCUAUGAUUCACACUUGUUGAUAGGGAGGAAGACUGAGGCUUUGUAGUGUGUCUCAGAAGCAUAGAGGAAAAAUUUCCCGAAGUCCAUGGCCUUGAUCAUGCCUAUAUUUGAGGGCCAUUCGAUCAUGUCAUAAGAUUUACCAAAAAUCAAUCUCAAUGAAGAGGGUGUUGAAAUCAAGGAAACAUUUGAGGGCAUUCCAUAAUUUUUUCCCCUUCAAGCAAUAUCAUAGACAACAUGCACUCCUUUUCCUCCUCUGCAUCAAUCAUGUGAAAAUCCCUACAAACUAAUGAAUGGAUUUCCAAUGAUUUGUCAAUAAUCCAUUUCUAUAAAAGGGCACAUUCAUCAUUAGACACAUAGAAGUUGGAUAAACCCAACAACCUUCCAUCCAGAGUCAACAAAAUUGAAACCCAUUUUUGAGAGUUGUUGGUGCCUCAUCCUAUAACUGACGACAACAUUAGGAAAUCCAGAGACGUCGUUGAGGGCCCCGAGAAGAGUUAUAUUUUAUUUUUAAUAGCUUUCCUACCUUGAAAUUGGAUCAACUAGAGAUAGGGUCCAAUAGUUGUAAGAGAAUCAAAAGUCUUGCGGUUUCCGGUGCACCCUCAGUGACCCUUGAAAAUUUGGCGGACCGAGUACCGUCCAUGCCCAAUCGUACUCAUAACUGCAUUAGGUCUCCAAGGUGAACAACCUAUGGUCAAUAGAACAAUGUAGGUAAUUGAAGUUGGAAAAAUGGAUCCGUAACUUCGGGAAAAGGAUUGGCUCUGAGGGUUGGGCCUAGGGGUCUAUGUCCUCAACUCAUGGGUUUUCGGCAGUCUACCCGAGCUGCUAUCGUGGUGAGGGUAGGUAGUCGCAUGCCGAUUGGGAUACAGGUGUAGGAUGUCCCCUCACGGGGGAUUUUCCCUAGGCGACGAACAAUCGACUCAUAACUGGUACGAACAAGGGGGAUCCGACUGUUUAAUUAAAAAAAAGCAUUUCUAUGGUCCCUGCGGAUGCUCACGCAAUGUGAUUUCUUCCCAGUUCUCUGAAUGUCAAAGUGAAGAAAUUCAACCAAGCACGGGUAAAGGGAUAGAGACUUCAAUCCUUAUAAUCCUUGAGUUUGCAACGAGGAUCAAGCUCAGGAAGGAUAGAGACUUGGAUAAGUUCAGAGCAAAGAUGAGGUUUUGAAGUCUCCUCGUGGAAUCAAGCUCAGAAGGGCGAACACCAAGUUAUUUGAAAAGGAAUUAUUGAGAGU